GACGAACGCUGGCGGCGUGCUUAACACAUGCAAGUCGAACGGUGAAGCGAGUGCUUGCACUCGUGGAUCAGUGGCGAACGGGUGAGUAACACGUGAGUAACCUGCCCAUCACUCUGGGAUAAGCACUGGAAACGGUGUCUAAUACUGGAUACGACCAACCCUUGCAUGGGGUGUUGGUGGAAUGAUUUAUCGGUGAUGGAUGGACUCGCGGCCUAUCAGCUUGUUGGCGGGGUAAUGGCCCACCAAGGCGACGACGGGUAGCCGGCCUGAGAGGGUGACCGGCCACACUGGGACUGAGACACGGACCAGACUCCUACGGGAGGCAGCAGUGGGGAAUAUUGCACAAUGGGCGAAAGCCUGAUGCAGCGACGCCGCGUGAGGGAUGACGGCCUUCGGGUUGUAAACCUCUUUCAGCAGGGAAGAAGCGAAAGUGACGGUACCUGCAGAAGAAGCACCGGCUAACUACGUG
rnacentral:rRNA from 1 species